rnacentral:rRNA from 1 species
UACGUAGGGGGCAAGCGUUGUCCGGAUUUAUUGGGCGUAAAGAGCGUGUAGGCGGCUGGGUAGGUCCGUUGUGAAAACUCGAGCUCAACCUCGAGACGCCGAUGGAAACCCUCCAGCUAGAGUCCGGAAGAGGAGAGUGGAAUUCCUGGUGUAGCGGUGAAAUGCGCAGAUAUCGAGGAAGAACACCCGUGGCUAAGGCGGCUCUCUAGUACGGUACUGACGCUGAGACGCGAAAGCGUGGGGAGCGAACAGG